UCCGCACGUUACGUACGGGUAUUGUAUACGGGCGCAAUUGUACACGGUGAAUUAAACAUUUGAAUACGUCCUUGAAUAUCGUUCGUACACGAAAACGUACACACAUUAAUGUACAUUGUGUCGAAAGAGUUUCGAAGGACCGCGUGUUUGCGUGUGCGUGUCGUACGCGGCUCGGUAAAAAACGUCCGACUUUGUGUGUGUGUGUGUGUGUGUGUGCGUACGUGCGUGCGCGGAGGGGAAAUCAAAUACAAUACGAACGCCGCGUACACGCG